rnacentral:sRNA from 1 species
GCGGAGGAAAAGAAACCAACAGGGAUUGCCCCAGUAACGGCGAGUGAAGCGGCAACAGCUCAAAUUUGAAAUCUGGUCCUCUAGGGGGCCCGAGUUGUAAUUUGAAGAGGAUGCUUUUGGCGAGGCGCCUUCCGAGUGCCCUGGAACGGGACGCCACAGAGGGUGAGAGCCCCGUAUGGUAGGACGCCGAGCCUCUGUAAAGCUCCUUCGACGAGUCGAGUAGUUUGGGAAUGCUGCUCAAAACGGGAGGUAAACCCCUUCUAAAGCUAAAUACCGGCCAGAGACCGAUAGCGCACAAGUAGAGUGAUCGAAAGAUGAAAAGCACUUUGAAAAGAGAGUUAAACAGCACGUGAAAUUGUUGAAAGGGAAGCGCUUGCGACCAGACUUGCGCCCGCCGGAUCAACCGUCGCUUGUCGGCGGCGCACUCCGGCGGGCUCAGGCCAGCAUCGGUUCGCCUGGGGGGAGAAAGGUGGCGGGAAUGUGGCUCCUCGGAGUGUUAUAGCCCGCCGCGCAAUACCCUCGGGCGGACCGAGGACCGCGCGU